AAACUAACAAGGAUUCCCCUAGUAGCGGCGAGCGAAGCGGGAAAAGCUCAAAUUGUAAUCUGGCGUCUACGACGUCCGAGUUGUAAUCUCGAGAAGUGUUUUCCGUGAUAGACCGCAUACAAGUCUCUUGGAACAGAGCGUCAUAGUGGUGAGAACCCAGUACACGAUGCGGAUGCCUAUUACUUUGUGAUACACUUUCGAAGAGUCGAGUUGUUUGGGAAUGCAGCUCAAAUUGGGUGGUAAAUUCCAUCUAAAGCUAAAUAUUGGCGAGAGACCGAUAGCGAACAAGUACCGUGAGGGAAAAGAUGAAAGCCUUUGGGAAAGAGAGUUAACAGUACGUGAAAUUGUUGGAAGGGAAACACAUGCAGCCAGACUUGCUAUUCGGGGGCAACUCGAUUGGGCAGGCCCGCAUCAGUUUUUCGGGGGCGGAAAAUCAUAGAGAGAAGGGUAGCAAUUUCGGGUGUGUUAUAGCUCUUUAUUGGAUUCGCCCUGGGGGGACUGAGGAACGCAGCGUGCUUUUAGCAUAAGCUUCGGCUUAUCCACGCCUAGGAUGCGGGUGUAAUGGCUGUAUAUGACCCGUCUUGAAACACGGACCAAGAGUCUAACAUGCUUGC
rnacentral:rRNA from 1 species